CAGAACGAACGCUGGCGGCAGGUCUUAGGCAUGCAAGUCGAACGGAUGACAAGGGAGCUUGCUUCCUGAAGUCAGUGGCGCACGAGUGAGUAACGCGUGGGAAACUGCCCUUCACUGGGGAAUAACGUUUGGAAACGAACGCUAAUACCGCAUACGCCCGCAAGGGGAAAGAUUUAUCGGUGAUGGAUGUGCCCGCGUUGGAUUAGCUAGUUGGUGGGGUAAUGGCCUACCAAGGCGAUGAUCCAUAGCUGGUCUGAGAGGACGAUCAGCCACGCUGGAACUGAGACACGGUCCAGACUCCUACGGGAGGCAGCAGCUAAGAAUAUUGGGCAAUGGAGGAAACUCUGACCCAGCCCAUGCCGCGUGAAUGAAGAAGGCCUUCGGGUUGUAAAGUUCUUUUAGUCAUGAAGAUGAUGACAGUAGUGACAGAAAAAGCACCGGCUAACUUCGUGCCAGCCGCCGC
rnacentral:rRNA from 1 species